rnacentral:rRNA from 1 species
GACGAACGCUGGCGGCGUGCCUAAUACAUGCAAGUCGAGCGAAGUUUUUCUGGUGCUUGCACUAGAAAAACUUAGCGGCGAACGGGUGAGUAACACGUAAAGAACCUGCCUCAUAGACUGGGACAACUAUUGGAAACGAUAGCUAAUACCGGAUAACAGUAUUUCUCGCAUGAGAGAUAUUUAAAAGUUGGUUAUGCUAACACUAUGAGAUGGCUUUGCGGUGCAUUAGCUAGUUGGUGGGGUAAAGGCCCACCAAGGCGACGAUGCAUAGCCGACCUGAGAGGGUGAUCGGCCACACUGGGACUGAGACACGGCCCAGACUCCUACGGGAGGCAGCAGUAGGGAAUCUUCCGCAAUGGGCGAAAGCCUGACGGAGCAACGCCGCGUGAGUGAAGAAAGGAUUUCGGUUCGUAAAAGCUCUGUUGUUAAGGGAAAGAAAUGGAAUAAUG